rnacentral:rRNA from 1 species
GAUGAACGCUGGCGGCGUGCCUAAUACAUGCAAGUCGAGCGAAUGGAUUAAGAGCUUGCUCUUAUGAAGUUAGCGGCGGACGGGUGAGUAACACGUGGGUAACCUGCCCAUAAGACUGGGAUAACUCCGGGAAACCGGGGCUAAUACCGGACAACAUUUUGAACCGCAUGGUUCGAAAUUGAAAGGCGGCUUCGGCUGUCACUUAUGGAUGGACCCGCGGCGCAUUAGCUAGUUGGUGAGGUAACGGCUCACCAAGGCAACGAUGCGUGGCCGGUCUGAGAGGGUGAGCCGCCACACCGGGACUGGGACAAGGCCCAGACUCCUGCGGAAGGUAGCAGUAGGGAAUGUUCCGCGAUGGACGUAAGUCAGACGGAGCAACUCCGUGUGAGUGAUGAAGGCUUUCGGGUCGUAAAACUCUGGUGUUAGAGAAGAAUAAGUGCUAGUUGAAUAGGCGGGCACCUUGACGGUACCUAGCCAGAAAGCCACGGCUAACUACGUGCCAGCCGCCGCAGUAA